UACGGGGGGGGUAAGCGUUGUUCGGAAUCACUGGGCGUAAAGGGCGCGUAGGCGGGAUGGCAAGUCAGUCGUGAAAUCUCUCGGCUCAACCGAGAAACGUCGGCUGAUACUGCCGUUCUUGAGGGAUGCAGAGGAGACUGGAAUUCCCGGUGUAGCGGUGAAAUGUGUAGAGAUCGGGAGGAACACCGGUGGCGAAGGCAGCCCCCUAGGCCAAUACUGACGCUCAUGCACGAAAGCGUGGGGAGCAAACAGG
rnacentral:rRNA from 1 species